UCGCAUAAAUGGAUGAGGAUAAGAUUGGUUGACACUUGAAUUCAAAUUUGAUUUGAAUUUAACUGAGCAACCACCUCUUCUUAUCCACUCACACGCUUUCAACAUCUCUUGCGAUGUUUUAUAAAAUGAGAAAGGGAGGGGGCGUGGGCAAUGAAAGAAAGAAGAGAUAAGGGGUGUGGGGAGGUUCUGGAAAAAUUUUGAAGUGUUCAAAAUUUAUCGAGAGGAG
rnacentral:lncRNA from 1 species